rnacentral:rRNA from 1 species
UACGUAGGCAGCAAGCGUUGUUCGGAGUUACUGGGCGUAAAGGGUGUGUAGGCGGUUGUUUAAGUUUGGUGUGAAAUCUCCCGGCUCAACUGGGAGGGUGCGCCGAAUACUGAAUGACUCGAGUGCGGGAGAGGUGAGUGGAAUUCCUGGUGUAGCGGUGAAAUGCGUAGAUAUCAGGAGGAACACCGAUGGCGAAGGCAGGUCUCUGGGCAGUAACUGACGCUGAGGAGCGAAAGCGUGGGGAGCGAACAGG